CAGGAGAGCCGGGAGAGCCGGGGCUGCCUGGCGAGGUGGGCAUGCGGGGAUUCCAAGGACCACCUGGACUCUCCGGGCCUCCUGGACACAUUGGAGCUCCUGGUCUCCAAGGAGAACGGGGUGAAAAGGGAAACCGAGGAGAAAAGGGGGAGAGAGGCCUGGAUGGAUUCCCCGGGAAGCACGGGGAGACGGGAGAGCAGGGGAGACCUGGCCCUCCUGGCGUGGCAGGACCCCAGGGAGAGAAGGGUGACGUGGGGCCAGCAGGACCUCCUGGUGUACCGGGCUCCAUGGUGCAGAGAGAGGGCCUGAAGGGCGAGCAGGGAGCCCCAGGACCACGGGGUCACCAGGGCCCACCUGGGCCACCAGGAGCUCCGGGUCUGAUGGGUCCUGGAGGCAAGGACGGACCUCCUGGUUUACAAGGUCUCCGGGUGAGUAACAUGUCUUUCCCUUC
rnacentral:lncRNA from 1 species